rnacentral:tRNA from 1 species
UGUCUUAUGGUGUAAUGGUAGCACUGCAGGUUUUGGUUCUGUAUGUCCAGGUUCGAAUCCUGGUAAGACAACCA